rnacentral:misc_RNA from 1 species
GAUGAAGAACGUAGUGAAAUGCGAUAAGUAAUGUGAAUUGCAGAAUUCAGUGAAUCAUCGAAUCUUUGAACGCACCUUGCGCCCUUUGGCCAUUCCGAAGGGCAUGCCUGUUUGAGUAUCAUGAACACCUCAACUCUUCAUGGUUUUCCGUGAUGAGCUUGGACUUUGGGGGUCUUGCUGGCCUAUGGUCAGCUCCUCUAAAAUAAAUCAGCUUGCCAGUGUUUGGUGGGUAUCACGGGUGUGAUAACUAUCUACGCUUGUGGUUUUCCACCAGGUAACCUUCAGCAGUGGAGGUUCGCUGGAGCUCACAGAUGUGUCUCUCCUCAGUGAGGACAGCUCUUUGAAUGUUUGAUCUCAAAUCAGGUAGGACUACCCGCUGAACUUAAGCAUAUCAAUAAGCGGAGGA